UACGUAGGGUGCGAGCGUUAAUCGGAAUUACUGGGCGUAAAGCGUGCGCAGGCGGUUCGCUGUGUCCUGUGUGAAAGCCCCGGGCUCAACCUGGGAAUGGCAGUGGAAACUAGGGGACUGGAAUCUGGCAGAGGGGGGUGGAAUGCCGCGUGUAGCGGUGAAAUGCGUAGAUAUCGGGAGGAACACCUGUGGCGAAAGCGGCUCACUGGACAGUAACUGACGCUGAUGCACGAAAGCUAGGGGAGCAAACAGG
rnacentral:rRNA from 1 species